UACGAAGGGGCUAGCGUUGUUCGGAAUUACUGGGCGUAAAGGGCGCGCAGGCGGUCCUUCAAGUCAGAUGUGAAAGCCCCGGCUCAACCUGGGAACUGCAUUUGAGACUGAAGGACUAGAGUUCGGGAGAGGAUGGUGGAAUUCCCAGUGUAGAGGUGAAAUUCGUAGAUAUUGGGAAGAACACCGGUGGCGAAAGGCGG
rnacentral:rRNA from 1 species